UACGGGGGGGGCAAGCGUUGUUCGGAAUUACUGGGCGUAAAGGCUCGUAGGCGGCCAACUAAGUCAUACGUGAAAUCCCUCGGCUUAACCGGGGAACUGCGUCUGAUACUGGAUGGCUUGAGUUCGGGAGAGGGAUGCGGAAUUCCAGGUGUAGCGGUGAAAUGCGUAGAUAUCUGGAGGAACACCGGUGGCGAAGGCGGCGAUCCUGGACCGACACUGACGCUGAGGAGCGAAAGCCAGGGGAGCAAACGGGG
rnacentral:rRNA from 1 species